rnacentral:rRNA from 1 species
UACGAAGGGGGCUAGCGUUGCUCGGAAUCACUGGGCGUAAAGCGCACGUAGGCGGAUUGCUAAGUCAGGGGUGAAAUCCUGGAGCUCAACUCCAGAACUGCCUUUGAUACUGGCAACCUUGAGUCCGGGAGAGGUGAGUGGAACUGCGAGUGUAGAGGUGAAAUUCGUAGAUAUCACUUGGAACGCCAAUGGUGAAAACAGAUAGCUGGGGUUGUGCUGACACUGAGACACGAAAGCCAGGGGAGCAAACGGG